rnacentral:lncRNA from 1 species
AAGGAACUGAUCCAACAGGACCUUGGAAGGCCUGGUGCUGUUUCUCUCAAUGGCAGCUGACUUGGCAGAAGGUACACGGGAAUUUACUUCUCUGUUCCAAGCGUCGACACCACCUGUGACAUUCCUAAGAUUUCUUUUUGUAAAAAUUAAAUCUCCUGCUCUGGCUUGGAACAUUUCUACUCGUAAUGGCUACAUAUGGACACUGAGCUGAGUAGUGUUCCAUUGUAUAUAUGUGCAUCGAUUCAUCCAUGGAAGAACAUUCAGGUUUGCCUCUCCCAGGCAGGAACCCCCUUAUUGGUUAUCCAAUACAAGUCAUCAGCCUUGAUACCAUUUACAAAACAAACUCGGCAGACUGUAUUAAUCUAUUUAUGUAUGUAUGUAUGUAUAUCAAAGAGAAAAGCUAUCAACUUGAGGGCGGUGCCAUGGGAGGGGUUGGAGGGAGCAAAGGAGGGGGAAAACCGGUGUGAUUCUGUUUCAAUUAAAAUAUAUUUUUUAAAAACUUAAAAAACAAAACGCAUAAGGAGCUGUUUCCUUAGUACAAACCCACAGAGCAGUGCACUGGGUGGGAAGA